rnacentral:rRNA from 1 species
GACGUAGGGCGCGAGCGUUGUCCGGAUUUAUUGGGCGUAAAGAGCUCGUAGGCGGCUUGUCGCGUCGAAUGUGAAAACCCACGGCUCAACUGUGGCGUGCAUUUCGAUACGGGCAGGCUAGAGUUCGGUAGGGGAGACUGGAAUUCCUGGAUGUAGCGGUGAAAUGCGCAGAUAUCAGGAGGAACACCGGUGGCGAAGGCGGGUCUCUGGGCCGAUACUGACGCUGAGGAGCGAAAGCGUGGGGAGCGAACAGG